AGUGAACGCUGGCGGCGUGCUUAAGACAUGCAAGUCGAACGGCAGUCUUCGGACUGUAGUGGCGCACGGGUGAGUAACGCGUAACUGACCUACCCCAAAGUCGCGGAUAACGAUUCGAAAGAAUCGCUAAUACGUGAUGUGCUGUCAGAUUGUGUUCUGCCAGUAAAGAUUGAUUGCUUUGGGAUGGGGUUGCGUUCCAUCAGCUAGUUGGUGGGGUAAAGGCCCACCAAGGCGACGACGGAUAGCCGGCCUGAGAGGGUGGCCGGCCACAGGGGCACUGAGACACGGGUCCCACUCCUACGGGAGGCAGCAGUUAGGAAUCUUCCACAAUGGGCGAAAGCCUGAUGGAGCGACGCCGCGUGAGGGAUGAAGGUCUUCGGAUCGUAAACCUCUGAAUCAGGGACGAAAGACACUUCGGUGGGAUGACGGUACCUGAGUAAUAGCACCGGCUAACUCCGUGCCAGCCGCCGCAGUAAUAC
rnacentral:rRNA from 1 species